UACGUAGGGUGCGAGCGUUGUCCGGAAUUAUUGGGCGUAAAGAGCUUGUAGGCGGUUUGUCGCGUCUGCCGUGAAAAUUCGAGGCUCAACCUCGAACUUGCGGUGGGUACGGGCAGACUAGAGUGUGGUAGGGGAGACUGGAAUUCCUGGUGUAGCGGUGAAAUGCGCAGAUAUCAGGAGGAACACCGAUGGCGAAGGCAGGUCUCUGGGCCGAUAUCGACGCUGAGGAGCGAAAGCGUGGGGAGCGAACAGG
rnacentral:rRNA from 1 species